rnacentral:rRNA from 1 species
AUACGUAGGGGGCGAGCGUUGUCCGGAAUGAUUGGGCGUAAAGGGCGCGUAGGCGGCCCGGUAAGUCUGGAGUGAAAGUCCUGUUUUUAAGAUGGGAAUUGCUUUGGAUACUGUCGGGCUUGAGUGCAGGAGAGGGAAGUGGAAUUCCCAGUGUAGAGGUGAAAUGCGUAGAGAUUGGGAGGAACACCAGUGGCGAAGGCGACUUACUGGACUGUAACUGACGCUGAGGCGCGAAAGUGUGGGGAGCAAACAGGAUUAGAUACCCUGGUAGUCCACACUGUAAACGAUGAAUGCUAGGUGUAGGGGGUAUCGACCCCUUCUGUGCCGCAGUCAACACAAUAAGCAUUCCGCCUGGGGAGUACGGCCGCAAGGUUGAAACUCAAAUGAAUUGGCGGGG